UCUAAAAAGAGAGAAAGCCAGAAAAAGGAAACGUGUAAAAUCUCUGCAUGUCUCCUCUUGAGGACUUAUUUUGAUGCCUUGUGUCUUUAAUGCCACAUGAGAAGUAAAGGAGGAGAGCAGGGGACUGCAUCCCUAGCAGAACGGAAAGAACAGCAACACCCGACCGACCGGAGGCUCCUCAGCUAGCUCACUCCGAGGACUCUCUCCUCUCCUCCACCCUUCAUGACAAGGUUCAAUAAGACACAGGUGGCCACAUUCAAUGGACCUGCAGAGGGAAAAAACAUUGUUUGUAUUUACUUACUGAAGACAUGUUGCAACCAAGUUCGGGCGUUAUUAACAGUCUCUCUAGUCUUCUUUUUAAAAAGUGACACAAAAUGGGUUGGAUGUGUCUGCAUUGGAAUGAGCUAGAACCCUAAAACCCUAGAACCCAAUCCAAAGCACUGCAGCUUCACGUCACAUCUCGCCAUGCGUUUUAACCAAUUGAAAAACUCACAUCUUUGCGUUGAAACAUAUAGGUUUAAACAUACAGUUUGUGGAUAUUGUAGAUAUAUAUUAAGAAUAUGUAUUUUUGUAUGCACAAUCCUGCUCAGUUUCAGUAGAGGACAGACAGUGGGGGAAAUGGACAUGGAACUAUGAGUUUGUUUUAGUUGUUGGUUUGGAACGGUCUGUAGUAAUAAUUUAGCUUAGUGUGCAUGUAGCACAGCAUUUGCAAGAAGUUCACUUGAGGAUAGGGUUUUGGUUUUGGGAGGAUGCCAACUUUUACGACUGUGUGCCUCUACCUCGUUCCCCUCUUCUCUACUCUGGUUGCAUUUGUCUGUCAUGAAUUAUAUUUAAAAAUGUAUUUAUAUAUGUAAUUAUAUACGUAAUUAUUAUAUUUUAAGUUGUGUAAAUUACUUUAACCAUGCUUUCUUUAAACACUUUUCAAAUAAUAAAUUAAGCAAUUUUAAGAUGA